UGCGCGCCGCUGAGCUAGCGCGAGCGCGGCCUCAUCAAGAUCCAGUGGCAGCGGCUGUCACAAGCCGAAACAGAGCCCUGGGGCCCGGCAGACAGGCGGCGAGGGUCCCGGGAGAGCGAGGGGCAUCAUUAAAGCGGUGGUGCAGCACAUGCCCCAUCCGAGCCGCCGCUUCCCAGUUUCUUCUGUUUUCACCGAGUCCGAUUCACAACAAAGGAACGGCCCAGAAUGCUUCGCGACUAACAUUGUGGAGCAUGCGCACUGGCAGAGCCGGGAAUGAACGCGUUGGAUAGAGAGGUUUCUGGGGCAGAGAGGAUUGUGGGAACUGCGGCCGCCAUUUUUCAGCACCUGUCGAAUAUUAGAAGGAGAGCAUUUGGAGACAGGAAACUCAAACCUAACAUCGUCUCAAGAUCUGAUAGAGUCACUUGAAUUAUCAAGACUUGAAUAUCGUUGGCCUUUAAAUCUGGAAGGAAAAAUGUUUUGUCUGUUCUGUCUCUAGGAAAAGAUUUCAAACAUCAGCGCGACUGGAAAAGCACCAAGGUA